rnacentral:rRNA from 1 species
GUUUAUAUCAUCACGGCAAUCGGAGGAAAAACCUGUGACGAGGGAAUCCCGAGUGCUCAUACAAAAAAGAACUUUAAUGAUGUGUAAAAAGUUUAGGAAUAAGGGCGGGGUAAGACCGGGGCCAGCCGCCGCGGUAAUACCGGCAGCUCGAGGGGUAGCCACUUUUUUUGGGCCUAAAGGGUCCGUGGCGGGCCAGGUAAAUCCUUGGGUAAAUCGUACAGUUAAACUGUGCGGCUUCCGGGGAGACUGCCUGACUUGGGACCGGGGGAGGUUGGAGGUACUCCUAGGGUAGGGGUGAAAUCCUGUAAUCCUAGGUGGACCACCGGUGGCGAAGGGGUCCAACCAGAAGGGCUCCGACGGUGAGGAACGAAGGUUAGGGUCGCAAACCGGAUUAGAUACCCGGGUAGUCCUAGCUGUAAACGCUGCAGACUUGGGGUGGGAGAUCCCACGAGGGGGUCCAGGGCCGGAGAAAAAGUUGUUAAGUUUGCCGCCUGGAAAGUUUGGCCCCAAGAUUAAAACUUAAAGGAAUUUGGGGGGGGGAAAGGGCCGAAUUCGUUUAAACCUGCGGGAUUAGUCCCUUUUAGGGGGGGGUUAUUUCUGAGCUUGGGGUAAUCCUGGGCCUUAGCUGGUUUCCCGGAGGAUUCGGUUUAACCCUUCCGGCCCUUUUAUUUUUUUCCCCUAAUAUUGGGGGUUAUAAAAAUUCGGGGGGGGUUUUUUUCAAAA